GUUUUACAUGAUGUUAAACAUAUCACGACGGUCAACUUAGCCAUAUGCAUUGAUGACAACGCCUGUGACAAGGCACCUUUUCCUGACA
rnacentral:snoRNA from 1 species